rnacentral:rRNA from 1 species
CCUACGGGUGGCAGCAGUGGGGAAUAUUGCACAAUGGGGGAAACCCUGAUGCAGCGACGCCGCGUGAGUGAAGAAGUAUCUCGGUAUGUAAAGCUCUAUCAGCAGGGAAGAAAAUGACGGUACCUGACUAAGAAGCCCCGGCUAACUACGUGCCAGCAGCCGCGGUAAUACGUAGGGGGCAAGCGUUAUCCGGAUUUACUGGGUGUAAAGGGAGCGUAGACGGCGCUGCAAGUCCGGAGUGAAAGCCCAUGGCUUAACCAUGGUACUGCUCUGGAAACUGGCAGACUUGAGUUGGCGAGAAGUACGCGGAAUGCGCGGUGUAGCGGUGAAAUGCAUAGAUAUCGCGCAGAACUCCGAUUGCGAAGGCAGCGUACCGGCGCCAGACUGACGCUGAGGCACGAAAGCGUGGGGAUCGAACAGGAUUAGAUACCCUUGUAGUC